rnacentral:tRNA from 1 species
GGGCCCAUAGCUCAGCUGGUCAGAGCUCCCGGCUCAUAACCGGGCGGUCACUGGUUCGAACCCAGUUGGGCCCA